UCUUUUCUUUCUUUCUUUUUUCUUUUUGUUGUUCUCUUUCUCUCUCUCUCUUUUGUUGAGAAAAGAAACGAA
rnacentral:ribozyme from 1 species